rnacentral:misc_RNA from 1 species
GAUGAAGAACGCAGCGAAAUGCGAAAAGUAAUGUGAAUUGCAGAAUUCAGUGAAUCAUCGAAUCUUUGAACGCACAUUGCGCCCGCCAGUAUUCUGGCGGGCAUGCCUGUCUGAGCGUCAUUUCAACCCUCACGCCCCUAGGGCGUGGUGUUGGGGAUCGGCCAAGGCCCGCAAGGGACGGCCGGCCCCUAAAUCUAGUGGCGGACCCAUCGUGGCCUCCCCUGCGAAGUAGUAAUAUAUACCGCAUCGGAUAGCGAUGAGCCCCUGCCGUUAAACCCCCAACUCUUUCAAGGUUGACCUCAGAUCAGGUAGGAAUACCCGCUGAACUUAAGCAUAUCAAUAAGCGGAGGA